rnacentral:rRNA from 1 species
UGGAGGGCAAGUCUGGUGCCAGCAGCCGCGGUAAUUCCAGCUCCAAUAGCGUAUAUUAAAGUUGUUGCAGUUAAAAAGCUCGUAGUUGAAUUUCGGGGUCAGUAGGCUGGUCGUGCCACAGGUAUGUACUGGUCUCACUGAUUCCUCCUUCCUGAUGAACCGUAAUGCCAUUAAUUUGGUGUUGCGGGGAAUCUGGACUGUUACUUUGAAAAAAUUAGAGUGUUUAAAGCAGGCUAACGCUUGAAUACAUUAGCAUGGAAUAAUGAAAUAGGACGUUGAUCCUAUUUUGUUGGUUUCUAGGAUUGACGUAAUGAUUAAUAGGGAUAGUUGGGGGCAUUAGUAUUCAAUUGUCAGAGGUGAAAUUCUUGGAUUUAUUGAAGACUAACUACUGCGAAAGCAUUUGCCAAGGAUGUUUUCAUUAAUCAAGAACGAAAGUUAGGGGAUCGAAGACGAUCAGAUACCGUCGUAGUCUUAACCAUAAACUAUGCCGACUAGGGGUCGGAUGAUGUUAAUUUUUUAAUGACUCAUUCGGCGCCUUACGGGAAACCAAAGUGUUUGGGUUC